CAGCCGCCGCGGGAAUACGAAGGGGGCUAGCGUUGCUCGGAAUUACUGGGCGUAAAGGGAGCGUAGGCGGAUCGUUUAGUCAGGGGUGAAAUCCCGGGGCUCAACCUCGGAACUGCCUUUGAUACUGGCGAUCUUGAGUAUGGGAGAGGUGUGUGGAACUCCGAGUGUAGAGGUGAAAUUCGUAGAUAUUCGGAAGAACACCAGUGGCGAAGGCGACACACUGGCCCAUUACUGACGCUGAGGCUCGAAAGCGUGGGGAGCAAACAGGAUUAGAUACCCGUGUAGUCCCUGUCUCUUAUAC
rnacentral:rRNA from 1 species